UACGUAGGGGGCAAGCGUUGUCCGGAAUCAUUGGGCGUAAGGCGCGUGUAGGCGGCUCGGUAAGUCUGCUGUGAAAGUCCAGGGCUCAACCCUGGGAUGCCGGUGGAUACUGUCGAGCUCGAGUCCGGAAGAGGCGAGUGGAAUUCCUGGUGUAGCGGUGAAAUGCGCAGAUAUCAGGAGGAACACCAAUGGCGAAGGCAGCUCGCUGGGACGUGACUGACGCUGAGACGCGAAAGCGUAGGGAGCGAACAGG
rnacentral:rRNA from 1 species